UAAGCUUAUUAACUUCCAGGGGUAUUUUCUGAAACCAUUGCGCACACACAACUGACUAAAGUCUAGCAGUGGUUGAGUAUAUGACUAUAUGUUAAUUUAUUGCAUGUACUGAAUAGGUUAUAUAACUUAUAUGGUGAAGGGGGGUCAAGUGGUAACCAAGGGCAACAACCCCUGAACCUCGAGCUGAAAAGGACGUAAAUUAUUAAUGUGCGCGGAUGGAGGCGAGCAUGAAGUGUAGCCCUGAAUUUGGCACAGACCGGACUUCGGAGUGCCAGAGUGUGUGUGUUUAGUGCUUUGGUGUGUUUGUAUCCUAUUGACAGCACUUGGGAGUGUCAACGAGUGAAAGCUGCGCGGGCAUCGUGUGUUGUGUGAAUGGCGGAUGACUAGGCUCGGUACAAAAAUCGGUCACCUGUUCGCACCGCAGACUUUGCCCAGUGAGGGAGUGUGUACGGAAAUUCUGUAACAGGCAGCUGGCAAGCGAAACUAGCAGCGGAACAGGGGCGCCUCGAGCUGUCAAGCGCGAGCCGAUCGCUGAAGCGCUCCAGGGUUAUAGGCUAGAUUCCCACUGAUACCGCUGCUGCCAUGAAGAGGAGGGAGUAUCCAGUCGGCGAAGUCCUCAUCAUUCCAAUGACAUCGACUUCACCUUCACCCCAGGACUCAGCUCGACCCCAAGCCCUUCCCCUCCAGCCCUCUUCCCCUCCUCCCCCUGUCUCCUCCCCUCCUCCCCCCCUUUCUCUGUCCAAUCCCCAGCUCCAGGCUGAGUUUCUGAGGAGAGCUCCCAGAGCUGCCUCCCCUGACAACGACUCGGCUAGAUCCCAAAUCCUUCCCCUCCAGCCCUCUCCCCCCAUCUCCACCUCUGUGGCUCCCCGCUCCUCCCUUCCUCCCCC
rnacentral:lncRNA from 13 species